CCUACGGGUGGCUGCAGUGGGGAAUAUUGCACAAUGGGCGCAAGCCUGAUGCAGCCAUGCCGCGUGUGUGAAGAAGGCCUUCGGGUUGUAAAGCACUUUCAGCGGGGAGGAAGGCGUUAAGGUUAAUAACCUUGGCGAUUGACGUUACCCGCAGAAGAAGCACCGGCUAACUCCGUGCCAGCACCGCGGUAAUACGGAGGGUGCAAGCGUUAAUCGGAAUUACUGGGCGUAAAGCGCACGCAGGCGGUCUGUCAAGUCGGAUGUGAAAUCCCCGGGCUCAACCUGGGAACUGCAUUCGAAACUGGCAGGCUAGAGUCUUGUAGAGGGGGGUAGAAUUCCAGGUGUAGCGGUGAAAUGCGUAGAGAUCUAGAGGAAUACCGGUGGCGAAGGCGGCCCCCUGGACAAAGACUGACGCUCAGGUGCGAAAGCGUGGGGAGCAAACAGGAUUAGAUACCCCUGUAGUC
rnacentral:rRNA from 1 species